rnacentral:misc_RNA from 1 species
UACGUAGGUGGCAGGCGUUGUCCGGAAUUAUUGGGCGUAGAGCGCGCGCAGGCGGUUCUUUAAGUCUGAUGUGAAAGCCCACGGUUCAACCGUGGAGGGUCAUUGGAAACUGGGGAACUUGAGUGCAGAAGAGGAGAGCGGAAUUCCAUGUGUAGCGGUGAAAUGCGUAGAGAUGUGGAGGAACACCAGUGGCGAAGGCGACUUUCUGGUCUGUAACUGACGCUGAGGCGCGAAAGCGUGGGGAGCAAACAGG